CAUAUCUCAUAUAGAGUCUUUACGACUGAUUAAUUCAGAAUCCAGUUCAGAACAUGAUCAAUAAUCUUAGGAGUAUAACCCUAAAAGGAGACUGGCAAACUUUUAAACCCCAUCAUAGAUUGAACUAUAUCAAACAAAGUUGAUUCCAAUAAGAGAGAAUGCUAUUCUCUUUUAGAUAUGUCAAAAACUCACUAGAAGGGCAUUCUCCUCUUUGAU
rnacentral:lncRNA from 1 species